rnacentral:lncRNA from 10 species
UCCACAUCCCCCUGCCUUUUCCGAGAAAAGGACAGUUAGUGCCUGGACCAGGACCAUCACACUGGGGACCGGCUUCUCUGCUCUCCCGUUAUGGGGGUCGGGGGAAUGAUGGGUCAAGGGUCUUCCGAAGAAAGCGAGAAAGGAACAGGCGCCUUCAAAAGCCCACUUGGCGAUGGGUUACAGUAAGAGCGUUGCUCCCUGCUUGGCUGAGCACUGCGGAGUUUCACGCCUCUAAACCCCGCCUCUUCUUGCAACCUGUGUUGGCCUCAUCUACCCAGCAACUGUCGACGUCACACGACCUGGGCCUCCCUGAAUGGGAGAUAUUUACUAGGCAAUCCCGCCUACUGUUCUGAGGUUUCCCCUCCAGGUGCAGCUUCAGAGCCAGGCGAGCCAGGAAGGACCAGCGGGCGAGGUGGAAGUCUGCAUUAUCACGAGGAGCUUGGAAAGGAGGUAACACACUCAAGGCAAAUUUCAAGUAACUCAUCCUGGAGGCAGCUGCCUACUCUGCAGCUGUGGUUCUCCACCACAGAGAGAAGAAAAGGGAGGGAGAUGGAGUGCGCAGGUCUGAGAAGGCUUUCAUUCUGGAGCAUCUGCAGGAGCCUGCACCAUGGCCCAGUAGCACCCCUUUUUCUCCAUGAGCUGCUGGUGGGUUCCCCCCUCCCGGAUAGCGCCUCCUUCCAGAAAGAGGAUGUGGUCAGCCUGCUCCACCAGGCUGAGGUGCUGGGUGAUGAGAAGCACUGAGCGGGAGUACCGCUCAGGGCUUUCGUACAGGAGCUGCUCCACCUGAGGAAAGACAUCGGACCGUCAGAGCCGGGGACUACCCUCAGCCCAGGGAGACACCUGUGUUUCCAGGGCUGGGACUGACCUCACAGGAUCACUGCUGGCUCUGCUAACAACCCCAAGGACACCAACGUUUCCCAUUCUGAGUACUUCUCCGCAAACCCUUUGUUUCAUUAAGGACUGUUUUACAUGAAGGGUGCAAAAGUAGGAUAAAAAUGAGAACCCUAGGGUGAAACACGUGACAGAAGAAUAAAGACUAUUGAAUAGUCCUCUUCUCUACCCAUGGACUUGGCAUUUUUAUAUUCGAUUUUAAGGAAAUAUAACUUAGUAGUAAAGAGAUGAGCAUUCAAGUCAGGCAGACCUGAAUUUGGGUCAAGGCUGCGCCACUCAAAAGCUAUAUGACCUCUAUAUGAGCAGCUUAUUCAACCUCUUUUAACCUCCAUUUUGUCAUCUGUAGAAUGAUGAUAAAUGCCUAGCUCAGAAGGAUUCCUAAUGAAUAAAUGAGUGACAGUGCAUGUAAACAGACUAGCUUAAUUAAUAUUAAUAUGAUUAGGAUGGGCUGGGCCCGGUGGCUCAUGCCUAUAAUCCUAGCACUUUGGGAGGUCAAGGAGGGAGGAUCACUUGGGCCCAGGAGUUCAAGGCCAGCCUGGGCAACAUAGCGGGACGCUGUCUGUACAAAAAAUAAUUUUUUUAAAUAAACGAUAUUAUGAGGAUGGUC